rnacentral:rRNA from 1 species
GAGCGCAACCCUUGUCCUUAGUUGCCAGCAUUUGGUUGGGCACUCUAGGGAGACUGCCGGUGACAAACCGGAGGAAGGUGGGGAUGACGUCAAAUCAUCAUGCCCCUUAUGAGUUGGGCUACACACGUGCUACAAUGGACGGUACAAAGGGCAGCGAAGCCGCGAGGUGGAGCCAAUCCCAGAAAGCCGUUCUCAGUUCGGAUUGCAGGCUGCAACUCGCCUGCAUGAA